UGCCAGCAGCCGCGGUAAUACGGAGGAUCCAAGCGUUAUCCGGAAUCAUUGGGUUUAAAGGGUCCGUAGGUGGAUAAUUAAGUCAGAGGUGAAAUCCUGCAGCUCAACUGUAGAAUUGCCUUUGAUACUGGUUAUCUUGAAUUAUUGUGAAGUGGUUAGAAUAUGUAGUGUAGCGGUGAAAUGCAUAGAUAUUACAUAGAAUACCAAUUGCGAAGGCAGAUCACUAACAAUAUAUUGACACUGAUGGACGAAAGCGUGGGGAGCGAACAGGAUUAGAUA
rnacentral:rRNA from 1 species